CCUACGGGUGGCUGCAGUAGGGAAUAUUGGACAAUGGGUGCGAGCCUGAUCCAGCCAUGCCGCGUGCAGGAAGACGGCCUUCUGGGUUGUAAACUGCUUUUGCCAGGGGAUAAAAAGUCCCUGCGGGGAAAAUUGAAGGUACCUGGUGAAUAAGCCACGGCUAACUACGUGCCAGCAGCCGCGGUAAUACGUAGGUGGCAAGCGUUGUCCGGAUUUAUUGGGUUUAAAGGGGGUCCAGUAAGUCCAUUAUGAAAUACGGCAGCUUAACUGUCGAGGUGCCAUUGAUACUGGAGGACUUGAGUACAGACGAGGUAGGCGGAAUUGACGGUGUAGCGGUGAAAUGCUUAGAUAUCGUCAAGAACACCGAUAGCGAAGGCAGCUUACUAGACUGUAACUGACGCUGAGGCACGAAAGUGUGGGGAUCAAACAGGAUUAGAUACCCCUGUAGUC
rnacentral:rRNA from 1 species